rnacentral:lncRNA from 10 species
UAAAUUCUAGGAAGAAACACCAGAGCCCUUCAACCAGAAUCAGAUCCCAGCAGAGCAAGAUGGUCUAACAGAAGACUUCACCAAUCAGCCUCCUUGUAGGAACACCAAAAUGAUCAACUAUCCACACAGAAAAGUACCUUCAUAAGAGCCAAAAAAUAAGGAUGCUGUGAUGAGAAGAUUUUGGCUACAACAAAAACAGAUGGCUCAUCAAGACUGUCAAAUGGGUCAGUUGGUAUCCUGGGCAUCACAUCACAAUGAAUUUUGGAUUUUCUUCCUAAAUGAAAUAAGCAGAAGUCAGUGGAGCAUAAACCACCCCCUUCUGCCCCACCCCCCGCCAAUGGAAAUUGAGAACAAGGGUAUUUGGCAAAGAAGUUUAUUAAGGACUUGGUAGAACAAUUAUCUCCAAACUUAUUUUUUCUUAAGGGAUCCACCCUUGAGACGUACAAUUACUGCUCUAUUUAAUCUUGUGACUCACUGUAUCAGAGGAGGCAGAGGUGCCUCCCAAAUUACGAAGCA